CACCUAGGAUGCGGGGGGAAACGACAACAAAGAAUCCAGCAAGAAGCUGUCAGUUCCAUCCCGCACCAUAGAACCCCCCGGAAGGCAGUGGGGUAGAAAAAUGCUGCCAGACUGCUACUGCUUUGGAGGGGGUGGCUGAGCUCCAGCGGGCCCUGCCUGAGCUUGUCCACAGCGCAAAGCUCGCCUGGGUCUGCAAUUACCGCGCCCUCCGCCCACCCCGCCUGCCGGGAAACGGUGCCCCCGAGAGCGGGGCGAAGCCGUUAUUGAGACGCGGGAUUGAUAGGGAAGCCACCACGCUGAUAGGCUUUAAUGGAUGUUCGAAGAUCACGCCCCCUUUUCCAAGGACACAAUCUUCAACCUAAGUACACACACACACACCACACACACAAUUAACGACCGGGGUGGUCAGCAGAGCGCCACACAGAAAGGAGCUUCUUAAAGGACAGGAGGGAGGAGGCUUUACGAAUCUCAGGAGGCAGAAUGUUCCAUAAGGAGGGAGCUGCACCAGAGAAGGCCCUCCCACGAGCCUGGGCCCCGCCUACUUCCCCUGGGCCCCGGAACUCUGAGAAGGCCCACCUGAGAGGACGUCACAAGGCAGGUCGGAGUUGAUGGGAGAGGCAGUCCUGAAGGUACAAGGGUGCCAUACCCGGAAGGGAUUUAUAGGUGAUAACCAGCACCUUGAAUUGGACCCAGAAGUGAACUGGCAGCCAAUGCUGCAACCUCAGCAAAGGUCUAUGGAGAGACUCUCUGGUGAAGUGGAUCACCCAUUCGUCAGCCUGCAGUAACCAAGAAGAGAGUCUGCUGCCUGCUUGCCUUUGUGCCUCCCUUUGCCAACAUUCCUCCUGAGGGCUGUGGGCCUGCUGUCCUCCGCACCAGGCCUAAGCUUUGCUUGCCAAUGGGUUUGUGUGUAAAUGAAUACAGGGAGACUGGAAGGAAAAAAUACUCUUUGACAGAAUAAAAAGUCAGGC